UACGAAGGGGGCUAGCGUUGCUCGGAAUUACUGGGCGUAAAGGGAGCGUAGGCGGACAUUUAAGUCAGAGGUGAAAUCCCGGAGCUUAACUUCGGAACUGCCUUUGAUACUGGGAGUCUUGAGUUCGGGAGAGGUGAGUGGAACUGCGAGUGUAGAGGUGAAAUUCGUAGAUAUUCGCAAGAACACCUGCGGCGAAGGCGGCCUUCUGGACGAUGACUGACGCUGAGACGCGAAAGCGUGGGGAGCAAACAGG
rnacentral:rRNA from 1 species